GUAGGUGGCAAGCGUUGUCCGGGAAUUAUUGGGGCGUAAAGCGCGCGCAGGCGGUUCUUUAAGUCUGAUGUGAAAGCCCACGGGCUCAACCGUGGAGGGUCAUUGGAAACAGGAGAACUUGAGUACAGAAGAGGAAAGCGGAAUUCCACGUGUAGCGGUGAAAUGCGUAGAGAUGUGGAGGAACACCAGUGGCGAAGGCGGCUUUCUGGUCUGUAACUGACGCUGAGGCGCGAAAGCGUGGGGAGCAAACAGGAUUAGAUACCCUGGUAGUCCACGCCGUAAACGAUGAGUGCUAAGUGUUAGGGGGUUUCCGCCCCUUAGUGCUGCAGCUAACGCAUUAAGCACUCCGCCUGGGGAGUACGGCCGCAAAGGCUGA
rnacentral:rRNA from 1 species